UACAGAGGGUGCAAGCGUUGUUCGGAAUUAUUGGGCGUAAAGCGCGUGUAGGCGGCUUUGCAAGUCGGGUGUGAAAAGCCCUCAGCUUAACUGAGGAAGUGCGCCCGAAACUGCAGAGCUUGAGUACCGGAGAGGGUGGCGGAAUUCCCCAAGUAGAGGUGAAAUUCGUAGAUAUGGGGGAGGAACACCGGUGGCGAAGGCGGCCACCUGGACGGAUACUGACGCUGAGACGCGAAAGCGUGGGUAGCAAACAGG
rnacentral:rRNA from 1 species